UACGUAGGGUGCGAGCGUUAAUCGGAAUUACUGGGCGUAAAGCGUGCGCAGGCGGCUUUGCAAGACAGAUGUGAAAUCCCCGGGCUUAACCUGGGAACUGCAUUUGUGACUGCAUGGCUGGAGUGCGGCAGAGGGGGAUGGAAUUCCGCGUGUAGCAGUGAAAUGCGUAGAGAUCCGGAGGAACACCGACGGCGCAGGCAGCGUCCUGGCCGCUUGCUGACACUGAGGCACGAAAGCUGGGGGAGCGAAUGGG
rnacentral:rRNA from 1 species